UACGAAGGGGGCUAGCGUUGCUCGGAAUCACUGGGCGUAAAGCGCACGUAGGCGGCUUUUUAAGUCAGGGGUGAAAUCCUGGAGCUCAACUCCAGAACUGCCCUUGAAACUGCAGUGCUAGAAUCUUGGAGAGGCGAGUGGAAUUCCGAGUGUAGAGGUGAAAUUCGUAGAUAUUCGGAAGAACACCAGUGGCGAAGGCGACUCGCUGGACAAGUAUUGACGCUGAGGUGCGAAAGCGUGGGGAGCAAACAGG
rnacentral:rRNA from 1 species